GACGAACGCUGGCGGCGUGCUUAACACAUGCAAGUCGAACGGAAAGGCCCUGCUUUUGUGGGGUGCUCGAGUGGCGAACGGGUGAGUAACACGUGAGUAACCUGCCCUUGACUUUGGGAUAACUUCAGGAAACUGGGGCUAAUACCGGAUAGGAGCUCCUGCUGCAUGGUGGGGGUUGGAAAGUUUCGGCGGUUGGGGAUGGACUCGCGGCUUAUCAGCUUGUUGGUGGGGUAGUGGCUUACCAAGGCUUUGACGGGUAGCCGGCCUGAGAGGGUGACCGGCCACAUUGGGACUGAGAUACGGCGCAGACUACUACGGGAGGCAGCAGUGGGGAAUAUUGCACAAUGGGCGGAAGCCUGAUGCAGAAACGCCGCGUGCGGGAUGACGGCCUUCGGGUUGUAAACCGCUUUCGCCUGUGACGAAGCGUGAGUGACGGUAAUGGGUAAAGAAGCACCGGCUAACUACGUG
rnacentral:rRNA from 1 species